rnacentral:misc_RNA from 1 species
UCUCCGUAGGUGAACCUGCGGAGGGAUCACUACAGGCUUGCAAAAGCUCUGAAACCACUGUUUAUCUACCUGAAUCUGCUUCGGCGGGCGGCCCCAGGGGGGGGCCGUAGCCGCAAGGCGCCCGCCGAAGACCCCUAAACUCUUUCGUCUUGCGAAUGUCUGAGUAUCAUAAUAAACAAAAAACAACUUUCAACAACGGAUCUCUUGGCUCUG